rnacentral:tRNA from 1 species
UAAUGUAAAAGAUUGUAAAUCUUUGUAAAGCUUAAAGCUAUCUAGGUAAAGUAGUGGACAUCAAAAAGUAA